rnacentral:lncRNA from 1 species
UCAGUUUUAUUGGUUGCACGCACAGUCAGUUAUUUCAUCCAGAAAAUCUGAAGGCCCUACAAACUAACCAGGACAGUAAGGGUUGAAACUGAAGGCCGAUUGUGAAUACUAUCCACCGGGAGCUUCUUAUGAAUUGACUCAUGUUCCUCAGAUAAUAAAUAACACUAAAAGACACCAGUUAGCUUCUGACCUCAAGGAGUGCUACUUUCAUCUCCUGCAAGCUUUGAAAAGGGAUCUGAUACCUGACAACAUCUUGACAAAAGCACAUCCCAUCUUCUGAUGGAAGCUGAACCAAAAUUAUUGAUGUCGCUAGUGAUUCAGGGUACUCUAGAUUGUUUGGAGUCCUAUAUAAAUACAUUUAAUAGACAAAAAAAUUGCUGCCUUAAUCUAAGCAGAAAUGACCUUAGUAGAUAGAUACUGCUUACCCCACUGAUGCAUUAGAGCUAUACUAGUUCUACUCCUAAUUCUUGAGAAGCUGUGUUUUCUCUAAUUUAUUUCCUUUUUGAUCUUCACCUAUAGUUUUGCUAGGCUUAUUUGUAACUUCUGUAUCCAUAAAUAAAUAAUCGCUGUGGCUUUAGCAUUAAAUAAUAUCUAUCUAUUUAAUAUUUUGAGUCAUCAUUUUUAUUGUGGCUAAUGAUAAUGACUGGGAAUU